GUCAUUCUUCCACAUAGACAUAGCUCACUGUGGAGGCUCUGAAUCUCACACCAGGAGGCAGCACCUGAGUGAUUUGACUCUCCUGCCUUGGCCCAGUCCACAGAUAGCAUUAUGACAUGUUGCUGAACCCGGCACCUAGGAGAUGUGACUUUAUUUUCCUGCCUUGGUACUGCCCACAGUUGUGUCCACAGGAGCGAUUUUGAUGUAUUGCUGGGCCGAACACAAAGGUGAUGUAAGUUUUCUGCCUUGGCCCUACCAAAAG
rnacentral:lncRNA from 1 species